rnacentral:rRNA from 1 species
GCUUGUCUCAAAGAUUAAGCCAUGCAUGUCUAAGUAUAAAUCUUUUACUUUGAAACUGCGAACGGCUCAUUAUAUCAGUUAUAGUUUAUUUGAUAGUCCCUUACUACUUGGAUAACCGUAGUAAUUCUAGAGCUAAUACAUGCAGGAAGACCCGACUCACGAAGGGUUGUAUUUAUUAGAUAAGAAACCUUCCCCUUUGGGUUGCGUGCCGAGUCACAAUAACUCCUCGAAUCGCAUGGCCUUGCGCCGGCGAUGUUUCAUUCAAAUUUCUGCCCUAUCAAUUUGAUGGUAGGAUAGAGGCCUACCAUGGUGGUAACGGGUGACGGAGAAUUAGGGUUCGAUUCCGGAGAGGGAGCCUGAGAAACGGCUACCACAUCCAAGGAAGGCAGCAGG